rnacentral:rRNA from 1 species
AUUGAACGCUGGCGGCAGGCCUAACACAUGCAAGUCGAACGAGUGGCGGACGGGUGAGUAAUGUCUGGGAAACUGCCUGAUGGAGGGGGAUAACUACUGGAAACGGUAGCUAAUACCGCAUACCAUCGGAUGUGCCCAGAUGGGAUUAGCUAGUAGGUGGGGUAAAGGCUCACCUAGGCGACGAUCCCUAGCUGGUGUGAGAGGAUGACCAGCAACCCUGGAACUUAGACACGGUCCAGACUCCUACGGGAGGCAGCAGUGGGGAAGUUUGAACAAUGGGCGCAAGCCUGAGGCAGCCAUGCCGCGUGAAUGAAGAAGGCCUUCGGGUUGUAAAGUUCUUUCAGCGGGGAGGCGUUACCCGCAGAUAAAGCACCGGCUAACUCCGUGCCAGCAGCCGCGGUAAUUC